GACGAACGCUGGCGGCGUGCUUAACACAUGCGAGUCGAACGGAAAGGCCCUGCUUUUGUGGGGUGCUCGAGUGGCGAACGGGUGAGUAACACGUGAGUAACCUGCCCUUGACUUUGGGAUAACUUCAGGAAACUGGGGCUAAUACCGGAUAGGAGCUCCUGCUGCAUGGUGGGGGUUGGAAAGUUUCGGCGGUUGGGGAUGGACUCGCGGCUUAUCAGCUUGUUGGUGGGGUAGUGGCUUACCAAGGCUUUGACGGGUAGCCGGCCUGAGAGGGUGACCGGCCAAAUGGGGACUGAGAUACGGCCCAGACUCCUAGGGGGGGCAGGGGGGGGGAAUAUGGCAAAAGGGGCGGAAGCCUGAGGCAGAAACGCCGGGGGGGGGAUGACGGCCUUCGGGUGGUAAACCGCUUUCGCCUGUGACGAAGCGUGGGUGACGGUAAUGGGUAAAGAAGCACCGGCUAACUACGU
rnacentral:rRNA from 1 species